rnacentral:rRNA from 1 species
AAGCAGGGGAUCGUAAGACCUUGCGCUUUUGGAGUGGCCGAUGCCUGAUUAGCUAGUUGGUGGGGUAAGGGCCUACCAAGGCGACGAUCAGUAGUUGGUCUGAGAGGACGGCCAGCCACACUGGGACUGAGACACGGCCCAGACUCCUACGGGAGGCAGCAGUGGGGAAUUUUGGACAAUGGGCGGAAGCCUGAUCCAGCAAUGCCGCGUGAGUGAAGAAGGCCUUCGGGUUGUAAAGCUCUUUCAGUCGAGAAGAAAAGGUUGCGACUAAUAAUCGCAACUUAUGACGGUAUCGACAGAAGAAGCACCGGCUAACUACGUGCCAGCAGCCGCGGUAAUACGUAGGGUGCGAGCGUUAAUCGGAAUUACUGGGCGUAAAGGGUGCGCAGGCGGCUCUGUAAGUCAGAUGUGAAAUCCCCGGGCUUAACCUGGGAAUUGCGUUUGAAACUACAAAGCUUAG